AAUGAGUAAAGAAAAGUAAAUGAAAUGAAACAAAUUAUAUAUGUGAUUUAAGUGAUAUAAUCCUAAACCUAAACUCUUAUUUAUACAUAAUUAUAUAUGUAUGCGGGCCUAACGGGCCGGGAUUUUGUGGGCGGGCCAGGCCGGGCUUUCUUGGGCAGGCCCGGCCCAGGCUUCAGACACUCAAGUCCAAGCCUAGCCCAGUCCAAGGCGGCCCAAGCCAUCUCAAAGCCCAUAACGGGUCAAGCCGGGCUUUUUUUUCAAUGGACCGAACGGGCUCCCAUCGGCCCAUGAACCUGCGGGCCAAAUGAUGAGGCCUACAUAGAACAUCAGAAAAUGAAGAGGAGGAGCCACGAGAGGAGACACAGGGGACAACUUUUAUCUCUUCCGUAAUUUUUUUUUUAAAAUUGUCUCCUUUAAUUUUGAAUGUGGCCUUCCGUUCAAGAAGUUUGAGGCCUCAAGUUUUGGAACUCAUCGAUCCUUUAAAAAUAAAAAGCUUUGGAACUCUCAAUAAAAUAUAUAAAUUAUAGGUAUGUACAGGAUAUAUAUAUAUAUAUAGAAUUUGGGGCCCCUUUGAACUGCGGCCCUAGUCGUCGCACUCCGCACCCAUGCUCAGAGUCGGCACUGUACACGACUCUGCAUAUAUGACGAAUUUUUAAGUCUAACACAUAGACAACACAUAUUGGAUGAUAUACAGUACAUGUGGUUGUUGGGCUUGCACACAUGAACUAACCCGCUUCGAUACUAUGAAGAAAGUUGAGGUUUUACCUCAAAAUCAGCGUAGCAUGCAGAAUAUUCUUGAUACUUAAUUAAAUA
rnacentral:lncRNA from 1 species